UACGUAGGCAGCAAGCGUUGUUCGGAGUUACUGGGCGUAAAGAGUGCGUAGGCGGUCCUGUAAGUUUGGUGUGAAAUCUCCCGGCUCAACUGGGAGGGUGCGCCGAAGACUGCAGGGCUUGAGUAUGGGAGAGGUAAGCGGAAUUCCUGGUGUAGCGGUGAAAUGCGUAGAUAUCGGGAGGAACACCAGUGGCGAAGGCGGCACUCUGGGCCGGUACUGACGCUGAGGAGCGAAAGCGUGGGGAGCAAACAGG
rnacentral:rRNA from 1 species